rnacentral:rRNA from 1 species
AACGAACGCUGGCGGCAUGCCUAACACAUGCAAGUCGAACGAGACCUUCGGGUCUAGUGGCGCACGGGUGCGUAACGCGUGGGAAUCUGCCCUUCGGUUGGGAAUAACUGAGAGAAAUUUCAGCUAAUACCUUAUAAUGUCUUCGGACCAAAGAUUUAUCGCCGAGGGAUGAGCCCGCGUAAGAUUAGGUAGUUGGUGGGGUAAUGGCCUACCAAGCCGACGAUCCUUAGCUGGUCUGAGAGGAUGAUCAGCCACACUGGGACUGAGACACGGCCCAGACUCCUACGGGAGGCAGCAGUGGGGAAUAUUGGACAAUGGGCGAAAGCCUGAUCCAGCAAUGCCGCGUGAGUGAUGAAGGCCUUAGGGUUGUAAAGCUCUUUUACCCGGGAUGAUAAUGACAGUACCGGGAGAAUAAGCUCCGGCUAACUCCGUG